rnacentral:rRNA from 1 species
UACAGAGGUCUCAAGCGUUGUUCGGAUUCAUUGGGCGUAAAGGGUGUGUAGGUGGCGCCGUAAGUCGGGUGUGAAAUUUCGGAGCUUAACUCCGAAACUGCAUUCGAUACUGCGGUGCUUGAGGACUGGAGAGGAGACUGGAAUUCAUGGUGUAGCAGUGAAAUGCGUAGAGAUCAUGAGGAAGACCAGUGGCGAAGGCGGGUCUCUGGGACAGUUCCUGACACUGAGACACGAAGGCCAGGGGAGCAAACGGG